GGGCCGGGCUGCACGUGGGUCGCCGGGGGCCGGCUGUGCGUGUGCGGAGACGGAGAGACCCUAGGGCUCGCGGCGCGUCCCGGGGAUGCUGGCAAGUCGUGGUGGCUGCACUCCCCCACCCCCACCCCCGGGAGGAGACAGGGGGGUGCCCCGGGACAGUGCCCACCGGUCCGCGUGAUGGGGGUAACGGUGCCCGGGCUCGGCCGGGGAGGGGCAGAUGAGCCCGCGAGGCGCUUCGCAGGGCGCCCCAGAGCCGACUUCUCCUAGGUGGGCUGGUCGCGGGAGGCAGAUGGCAGACAAGGGAAUCCGGAAAUCUGGAAUCGCGGCUGCGGUGACUGCGUGAGGUACCCGCAGAGUCCUGGGAAUCCGGCCCUUCCCCAUCGGUAACUACAACUGAUGGGACCUUGUGCGCGACCGAGGCGCAGACCCUCGGGCUCCCGGCUGGACGAUCUCACAUGCAGUCCUCCUUUGCGUCAACUCGGGUUUGUGGGGACACAACUUUAAUGACAUAUAACGGAUGUUGCCCUUAGUGCAGAAGCCGCACCAGCAGGCCCACGGCCCCAACUGUGAGAAGGGAAUGUGGUAAAUCUGAGCCACGCCGUGAAAUAAGGUUGCAUCUACUGGAUGGUCGAAGGAACAUUUUGAGCAAUACUGUACAUGACUUGUCAAUUCUGAAAUCGGACAGGAUGCGGCGUUAACUAAUCUGCUGAACUAGGUUUCACCACGAAUGUGCCUCUCUCUUUUCCUUGGACAUUGGAUGGGACUGCCAAUGAGCGUCUCCCAAAGGGAAGUGAUUCAAGACAAAGACCCAUUCUUCUAGUAGGAUAUGUGGGGAAUACCAACUAUGCUUAUUACAGGAUGUGCAUGGCUGGUGUUGGCUCGCCUUCCUGAUGUCCGCAAGAGGAGACAGAAGCAAGUGAUGGGGCAAUUUGACACCCAUCGCUCGGGAGCUGCCCCAAGGAAGCCAUGUUCCCAUCUCAGUUGGUGCCCAGGAACGGCCGUUCUUCUUGCAUUUGAUCCUCUUCGAAAUGUAUUUCUCAGAGAUGUGUGCUUCAACGUGCAUUUCCCCCCUGUCUCUACCUCCAUCUUAUUUGAGGAACCCCAGAUUAUUUAAUGCUCCUACCUGCCUCUUCCUUUGUAAUUCACAUUCACCGCAGAAUUUCAUUCUGUCCUUCAGUCGGGUGGCCUGCCUUAUCCUCAGAAGAGCUUCAAAUUGUUUAUUCCUUAAAAAAAAUUUCAAAAGUGACCUGGAAUUUAGCCAGCUCCAGCCAGUCUCUGAGUUUGGCUUUGUGUCCAUAAGCUGCAGUUGAGAGAAACGCACGAAAUGCCCAAACAGAAUAAAACAAAUGAUCUAUUUAGUCUCAUUUCCUCUCUUGGAAGACAUCCAGCGUCGAGUGCUUUGGAAGAUGAAAAUUCCCCGUCCCGCUCUCCCACUGCUCCCCCGUGCACCCAAAUAAUAUGACCUUGUAUUUAAGUAAAAACUAUCCCUACGUU